CCCCUAGAUGUUCUGGGCCGCACGCGCGCUACACUGAACAGUUCAACAAGUCUUAACCUUGGCCGAUAGGGCUGGGUAAUCUUUGAACGCUGUUCGUGAUUGGGAUAGACCUUUGCAAUUAUGGGUCUUCAACGAGGAAUUCCUAGUAAACGCAAGUCAUCAGCUUGCAUUGAUUACGUCCCUGCCCUUUGUACACACCGCCCGUCGCACCUACCGAUUGAAUGGUCCGGUGAAAUCUCGGGACGGCGGCUUGGUCGCUUGCGUCCGACUGCUGAAACUUGAUUAAACCAUAUCAUUUAGAGGAAGGUGAANUCGUANCA
rnacentral:rRNA from 1 species